GACGAACGCUGGCGGCGUGCUUAACACAUGCAAGUCGAACGGAAAGGCCCUGCUUUUGUGGGGUGCUCGAGUGGCGAACGGGUGAGUAACACGUGAGUAACCUGCCCUUGACUUUGGGAUAACUUCAGGAAGCUGGGGCUAAUACCGGAUAGGAGCUCCUGCUGCAUGGUGGGGGUUGGAAAGUUUCGGCGGUUGGGGAUGGACUCGCGGCUUAUCAGCUUGUUGGUGGGGUAGUGGCUUACCAAGGCUUUGACGGGUAGCCGGCCUGAGAGGGUGACCGGCCACAUUGGGACUGAGAUACGGCCCAGACUCCUACGGGAGGCAGCAGUGGGGAAUAUUGCACAAUGGGCGGAAGCCUGAGGCAGCAACGCCGCGUGCGGGAGGACGGCCUUCGGGUUGUAAACCGCUUUCGCCUGUGACGAAGCGUGAGUGACGGUAAUGGGUAAAGAAGCACCGGCUAACUACGU
rnacentral:rRNA from 1 species